AUCAUGACUCACACAUAUUGAAUAUUCCGCGCUACAAACGUACAAUUUUGCAUACUAAGCAUUAUCAACUCGACUCUGAAUUCGGAAAAGUAUUUUUCUACCUAACAAAGUCUACAGGCAAUCGACUUUAUUUCCAUGAGAGUCUGGAAGUUGAUCUUGGUACUAUCGAUCAACUCGAGAAAAUGAAUUAUUCGUAUCCCGAAAUGUCUUCCGAUUUUGAUGAAAAGUUCAUUUAUGUAUUGUCGACUGCUGUAUUACAACUAAAUGAAAUCAAUAAUUUCUUAGAAUCCAAUAAUCUUCAUCAUAUUGAUCGGGAAAGACUUCAAUUUAUUAAAAGCAUUUACUUGGAACGAGUUAAAAGUGAUGUAAAGCGUCAGCGAGCAUUUCGGGGCCACAUGAAGUCUGCUUUGGAGUACUUUAUCGAACAGAAAGAUCGAGGAAAAAAAUGAAG